rnacentral:lncRNA from 1 species
GGAAAACCCAGUCGCUGACCUAACGCACUGUGCAUUCCCAGAAGCUUGGUUUAAAAGGCAGGCGGAGUCCAUAAAGCAGAAAAGCGGUGCGGUUUUUUGGAGAAGCACUACCAACAUCUGAGGAACCAAAGUCUGCAAUCUGCAGCCUCUAGUUUCUCUAGGUCUGCU